AUUGAACGCUGGCGGCAUGCCUUACACAUGCAAGUCGAACGGUAACAGGGAGCUUGCUCCGCUGACGAGUGGCGAACGGGUGAGUAAUGUAUCGGAACGUACCUUUCAGUGGGGGAUAACGUAGCGAAAGUUACGCUAAUACCGCAUAUUCUGUGAGCAGGAAAGCAGGGGAUCGCAAGACCUUGCGCUGAUUGAGCGGCCGAUAUCAGAUUAGCUAGUUGGUGAGGUAAAGGCUCACCAAGGCGGCGAUCUGUAGCGGGUCUGAGAGGAUGAUCCGCCACACUGGAACUGAGACACGGUCCAGACUCCUACGGGAGGCAGCAGUGGGGAAUUUUGGACAAUGGGGGCAACCCUGAUCCAGCCGUGCCGUGUGAGUGAAGAAGGCCUUCGGGUUGUAAAGCUCCUUCGGCCGGGAAGAAAUCGUAUGGGCUAAUACCCUGUGCGGAUGACGGUACCGGCAUAAGAAGCACCGGCUAACUACGUGCCAGCCGCCGCCGUAAUAC
rnacentral:rRNA from 1 species